rnacentral:rRNA from 1 species
CCUACGGGUGGCAGCAGUGGGGAAUAUUGGACAAUGGGCGAAAGCCUGAUCCAGCCAUGCCGCGUGUGUGAAGAAGGCCUUCGGGUUGUAAAGCACUUUCAGUGGGGAAGAAAGCCUUGGGGCUAAUACCCUCGAGGAAGGACAUCACCCACAGAAGAAGCACCGGCUAACUCCGUGCCAGCAGCCGCGGUAAUACGGAGGGUGCGAGCGUUAUUCGGAAUUACUGGGCGUAAAGCGCGCGUAGGCGGUCUGAUAAGCCGGUUGUGAAAGCCCCGGGCUCAACCUGGGAACGGCAUCCGGAACUGUCAGGCUAGAGUGCAGGAGAGGAAGGUAGAAUUCCCGGUGUAGCGGUGAAAUGCGUAGAGAUCGGGAGGAAUACCAGUGGCGAAGGCGGCCUUCUGGACUGACACUGACGCUGAGGUGCGAAAGCGUGGGUAGCAAACAGGAUUAAUACCCCGGUAGUC